AUGGAAAAGCUCUCAAGCUGUAACCAACUUCAUAACCGUUUUCAUUCACAACUUCCUCUAUAUAAUAGAAAUUCAGAGAUUCAGGAGGGGGAUUCACAUCUCAAAGAUAUAAUUAUACACAAUCAUUAUCCAUUCACAUUUGAUUAUUCAGAACCUCACAGAAAAAUCCCAGAGAAAAAUCAAUUAUAG